rnacentral:rRNA from 1 species
ACGCGUGGAACCUUACCAGGUCUUGACAUCCCACUGACCGCUAUGGAGACAUAGCUUUCCCUUCGGGGACAGUGGUGACAGGUGGUGCAUGGUUGUCGUCAGCUCGUGUCGUGAGAUGUUGGGUUAAGUCCCGCAACGAGCGCAACCCUUGUCCUUAGUUGCCAUCAUUAAGUUGGGCACUCUAAGGAGACUGCCGAUGACAAAUCGGAGGAAGGUGGGGAUGACGUCAAAUCAUCAUGCCCCUUAUGACCUGGGCUACACACGUGCUACAAUGGACGGUACAAACGGUUGCGAAGUCGCGAGAUGGAGCUAAUCUGAUAAAACCGUUCUCAGUUCGGAUUGUAGGCUGCAACUCGCCUACAUGAAGCUGGAAUCGCUAGUAAUCGCGGAUCAGCAUGCCGCGGUGAAUACGUUCCCGGGCCUUGCACACACCGCCCGU